UGGGGAAUUUUGGACAAUGGGCGAAAGCCUGAUCCAGCAAUGCCGCGUGUGUGAAGAAGGCCUUCGGGUUGUAAAGCACUUUUGUCCGGAAAGAAAUCCUUGGCUCUAAUACAGUCGGGGGAUGACGGUACCGGAAGAAUAAGCACCGGCUAACUACGUGCCAGCAGCCGCGGUAAUACGUAGGGUGCAAGCGUUAAUCGGAAUUACUGGGCGUAAAGCGUGCGCAGGCGGUUUGCUAAGACCGAUGUGAAAUCCCCGGGCUCAACCUGGGAACUGCAUUGGUGACUGGCAGGCUAGAGUAUGGCAGAGGGGGGUAGAAUUCCACGUGUAGCAGUGAAAUGCGUAGAGAUGUGGAGGAAUACCGAUGGCGAAGGCAGCCCCCUGGGCCAAUACUGACGCUCAUGCACGAAAACGUGGGGAGCAAACAGGAUUAGAUACCCUGGUAGUCCACGCCCUAAACGAUGUCAACUAGUUGUUGGGGAUUCAUUUCCUUAGUAACGUAGCUAACGCGUGAAGUUGACCGCCUGGGGAGUACGGUCGCAAGAUUAAAACUCAAAUGAAUUGACGGGGUCAUAGCUGUUUCCU
rnacentral:rRNA from 1 species